rnacentral:misc_RNA from 1 species
AGUUUUAAUUAUAUUUUUAAAUAUCUAUUCAUGUUAUGAACUUUUUCAAUUUUUUUUUCCAAAAAUUUUGCAUAGCAAUAGUAUGUUACCGUUACAUUAUGGCUAUUACAAGCCUGUUUCCAUUACCCACAAUUGUGACUGCACGUGGCCACGAUCGCGAUUUAAAUCCAUGGUAGAAUGUUUCAUUAGGCAGGCAGAAUUAAACUUUGGGAAUUUGCUCACUAUGAUAUUUUGUGCUUAUUCUUAAUGACUUCCACAUUGUUCUUGAAUCAGCUAUAACCUGCAUGAUCAAAUUUGUUACAUGGUGAGGGUGCAUUUUUGUUGAAAUUUGCAAUGUCCUGUAACCUUAAAAUUUCCCUUUUAGCCAUUUGCUUACACAGUUUCUGCUGAUAAGAACCGUUCUGCUGUUAAUAGUUGUUAUUUAACUUUGAAGUCUUUCUUUGUAAUGGUUGAUCUCAUGCUAUUGUAUUGCUGAUGUAAAAAUUAUUUUUGGCAAAAUCAAAGAAAAAAUAAUAAUCAUGCAUUUCCGGCUUGCCACAAAUAGAAUGUAAAUACUAGUUUUCCCUCUUGAGAUUGAUUUGGACAACUGUGUUAAAUUGAUGCUUAAGAAUUUACCCAAACAAAGGAGAAGGAAAAUAGUCUUGUCCUCAAGAAAAUCUAAGGGAUUCUCUCUUACUUGAUGAUGCUGAAUUAAUUGAAUGCUCAUUGUUUGAACUAAUGGUGCCAUUAACUGACCUGCUAGGUGGAAGAGGUCUAUUCAGAAUAAUUUUGCUUCAUGUUCCUAUAAAAAAUGAAAAUAUCAUUAACUAUAAUUUUAAGCAUUUGCAUUAAGUUUUUUUUUUUAUUUUUCAUUUAUUAUUGUUAUUAUUCAAGUUCUCUAUUUGUGACGUGGACAUAUUCUUUUUCUUACUAUCUUAUCUUUAGGAAAUUUUGCGUGAACUUCUUUUCGUGUUGGUAAUAGUUUGAAUGGACUAGUUAAAUUGUUAUGCUUCUUCAGGAUAUAUCCAGAUGCCUACUCUGGACUCAAAGGCAUCAUCAGACAUGGCCCCAAAUUCGAACUGACAUUUUGACAAAGCCUAUUGAUCUGCUGAUGCUCAACAGACUACGGGAGUCCUAUUGUGAGAUCAAGGAGGGAGAGGUUGAUGCUUUAGCUGUAGUUCACUCUUAUGAGGAGGGUGUACCAGCUGGAUCCCAUAAGACUAGGCUAACUGCUCUUAAUGUACCACCUAUGGGUCUGUUCUACCCAAUGCUGUUGGUUCCAGAAGUAUAUUCUCCACCACCCCGAUCUUGGUUCCAUGAUUAUGAGGAUAUGUUGGAAGAUACAUGGCAUAUAGAAUAUCCUAGAAGACCUGAUAUGCCAGAUGGUCUAUUUCCUGGCAUUAAUGUUGGAUUAUCCAUGUGGGAUAGCUAUCCAGUUUUCCCUU